UAGGUCCUGGUGGUGACAGUCACAUUCAGGACCUGCCCGCACUCCUCCCCCUCCACAAGUGUGACAGGCCGCGUGGUCAGCGAGUUGCCCAGGGGUGCACACGGGGAGCCCCGCACCUGGGCACUGGAUGGGCCACUCCAGCUCCAGCAGUGACAGGUCAUUCUCCCCCGCGUCCGCGUCAUACCGCAUGUGCACAUGGACGUGCGUUAUCUUGAUCAUCAGCGGGUCUUGGCUCGUUCUGUUAAAAUCUGAAAUCAUGAACAAUCGUCAGUUCUUUACAGUCUGAUUUUCAAGGGGACAUAAUGCUCAAACGAGCUUCUCAGGGAGCCACGUGAGGAGGGAGAGACCGGCCCUGGAGGACCCGCAGGCUCACCGCCCCGUGGUGUGGACACUGUGCCUUUCUGCGGACAGAAAGGCCACUCACAGAUUGCACGAUUGCAACCAAGUGCCACAGCCUUUAAAAACAGUCAAGGAAUCGUAAUCCCCAAGAAACAACGGUCUCAGCUACUGUCCAGAAUUUCCAUGGUGCAGAGCAGGACGGGGCAUCUCAGUUGGAGCCCUGCUGACUCCCUAAAUUGAAGAGAGAAAGCUGAGAGCCCAGGGAGGCCACAGUGGCUGGAGUUUGCAGAACAGAGUCCUGCAGAACAGAGUCCGGCAGAGGAGAGAGCUUGGUAGAGAAUGCUGGAGGAUGGCCACAUGCCUAGCAGUUUUCAGCAGAGCAGUGGUGAUCACGUGUACAUGGAGACUAAUUAUGGCCGGGAAAUGACAAGUGAGGUGAAAGUCAUAACAAUAAAUUGAAGCACGCGGAGAGCGCUCUGUUACCUGCCACGGGAGGUCCUGUAGAUCCGGUGCACGCUUCUCAGAGGUCAGCACCCCGCAGGCACACUGGUCUGCAUUUGCGGCAGCAACAUGAGAAUAAAAAUCAGCGCCUUCUCAGCGAAUAUCGGACUCUGUCUAUGGUGUUAACCGUUGCAUAAUUCCGUCUAUGGUACUAACCAUUAUAAUCUUAUCCUUAAUGCUGAUGAAUGUGCAGUAAUUCACAGACACACAGACUGGAGUUAAACCACCCCUCACAGCACUCAUGGUUUAGCUCAGAGUGGUCCGAGCAAGCACUAGUGACAGAAACUGCACUUUCUAGCAUGGCCAUUGCUCCAGCGUGGAGACGCGGACCACCUUCUGAGUCGUGGCAACUGCUUAUCACAAAUCCGCGGGCUUCACCCAGUACUACAGAAGGAAGGAGGAUGUGGACGGGGUCGCUGGCAUUGGAAGCUGGAGGCCGCUGUGGUCUGAGCACUCACCGUGGGGCACACACUGUUUGUGGUCCUCACCAAGCCUGUAGCCCUGAGCACAGCUGCAUGUGUAGGAUUCCUGUCCUGGGAGGCAGAAGUGUUGACACCCAUCAGUCCGCUCUGGGUGACAUUCAUUUUUAGCUGAAAAGGAAAAAAAAAAAAGGAAAUGCUAGCUUGGAAAUAGUCAUUUUAUCACAGCCUUGCACACAGUUCUGUGUGUUGGUCCAUGUUCAUUUUAUCACAGCCUUGCACACAAGAGUUCUGGUGUGUUGGUCCAUGUGUUCUCAUUCUCUUCAGAUCGUUGUCCUCUGUGUCAGUGUUUCCCACAUGUCCGUAUUUCAGGAAUGUGCAUGUAGAACAAAGACUCCGUGAGUGAGGCCGGGCGCGGUGGCUCAUGCCUGUAAUCCCAGCACUUUGGGAGGCCGAGGUGGGCGGAUCACGAGGUCAGGAGAUCAAGACCAGCCUGGCCAACAUGGUGAAACCCCAUCUCUACUAAAAAUACAAAAAUUAGCCAGGCGUGGUGGCGCGUGCCUGUAGUCCCAGUUACUCGGGAGGCUGAGGCAGGAGAAUCACUUGAACCCAGGAGGCAAAAGGUUGCAGUGAGCUGACAUCGCGUCACUGCACUCCAGCCUGGCGACAGAGCGAGACUCCAUCUCAAAA
rnacentral:lncRNA from 10 species